rnacentral:rRNA from 1 species
UACGGGGGAUGCAAGCGUUAUCCGGAUUUAUUGGGUUUAAAGGGUGCGUAGGCUGUGAGGUAAGUCAGCGGUGAAAUGCCCCCGCUCAACGGGGUGAAGUGCCAUUGAUACUGCCUUGCUGGGAUGCGGAUGCCGUGGGAGGAAUGUGUGGUGUAGCGGUGAAAUGCAUAGAUAUCACACAGAACACCGAUUGCGAAGGCAUCUCACGAAUCCGCGAUUGACGCUGAUGCACGAAAGCGUGGGUAUCAAACAGG